rnacentral:lncRNA from 1 species
UUUAUUAUUAUUAAAUAAAACAAAAAAGUAAAAAAAAAUGAGAAUGUACUAAAAUAAAACGAAAGUCGAGACUCGAACCCGGGACCAUAUGAUAGCUCUCCCUACCCAUGUUCUCUUACCAAUUAUGCUAUUUCAUUUAUUUAAAAUAAGAUGGUACUAGAAAACAUAUGAACGGUGGUCAAAAUUUGGGGUACAACAGGUAGUGUAGUGGGAAAUUCAUGAUCAUU